rnacentral:lncRNA from 1 species
GAAAAGUAGUUUUCUUGAUAUCAUCUAAAUCUCAAGAUUGAUCUUACAACCAAAACUUUUAGGCCAGCGCUGCCAAUGUUAAAUGAUUAACCAUACAAGAAAUACAGACAAACACAGACGUUUCAUAACAAUCAAUUCAACAGCGAGGAAAAGCAUAUUGAGGACAUCAAUAUGGAUGAACUCAUUCAAAGCCUGAUGACUAUAGGGGAAUAAUCAGACACAGUUCAGACCAGACAGAAAAG